CCUACGGGGUGCAGCAGUGAGGAAUAUUGGUCAAUGGACGAGAGUCUGAACCAGCCAAGUAGCGUGAAGGAUGACUGCCCUAUGGGUUGUAAACUUCUUUUAUAUGGGAAUAAAACGUUCCACGUGUGGGAUUUUGUAUGUACCAUAUGAAUAAGGAUCGGCUAACUCCGUGCCAGCAGCCGCGGUAAUACGGAGGAUCCGAGCGUUAUCCGGAUUUAUUGGGUUUAAAGGGAGCGUAGGUGGAUUGUUAAGUCAGUUGUGAAAGUUUGCGGCUCAACCGUAAAAUUGCAGUUGAAACUGGCAGUCUUGAGUACAGUAGAGGUGGGCGGAAUUCGUGGUAUAGCGGUGAAAUGCUUAGAUAUCACGAAGAACUCCGAUUGCGAAGGCAGUUCACUGGACUGCAACUGACACUGAGGCUCGAAAGUGUGGGUAUCAAACAGGAUUAGAUACCCUAGUAGUC
rnacentral:rRNA from 1 species